GUGCAAUGUGUGGCCACACUGUUCAGACUGUUCUGGGCCAUGUACUUAGAGCGUCUUAUUUCACCUGCCACACAGACAAUCAGGUGUCUGUAUUCUGGUACCUAUGGAAAUGAUUUUAUGAAUGCUGUAUAUGUGGAAUCAUUAGGAUCUGUCUGGCAGAUUAUGUUUGAGUAAAAGGAACAGCAGCCUGAUGUCCUGUCUGCUGAGGAAGCUGCAGCACUAGGUUACUUCCUAAUGGCUACUGUGAAAAGAAUUGUUUUCCGCAAUGGUUUUGACCAGCUCAUACUUCCAUCAGCAUUCUGUUCCAGUGGCAACGCCGACACCCAGCAAGAAGCUAAUUCUCCCAACUAAAGGAAAGCCUGUUCCUGUACUCUUUUCUUCAAUUUCUUAUGUACGGGUGUCCAGCUGGGGCUGCUGCAAAAGGUAUAUAACCUAUUGUCUUCCCUGUCAUCAUCUUCAUCUCUGUACAGCUGCAUCAGCAACUUGAUAACUCUACAAUCUUUUUUUUUCCUGGUAGAAC